GACGAACGCUGGCGGCGUGCUUAACACAUGCAAGUCGAGCGGAAAGGCCCCUUCGGGGGUACUCGAGCGGCGAACGGGUGAGUAACACGUGGGUAAUCAACCCCUGACAUCGGGAUACCCCGGGGAAACCCGGAUCAAUACCGGAUAAGGUGCGGAGGCGCAGGCCGCCGUACCAAAGGUAGCUUCGGCUUCCGGUCAGGGACGAGCCCGCGGCCCAUUAGCUUGUUGGUGGGGUAACGGCCCACCAAGGCGACGAUGGGUAGCUGGUCUGAGAGGACGAUCAGCCACACUGGGACUGAGACACGGCCCAGACUCCUACGGGAGGCAGCAGUGGGGAAUCUUGCGCAAGGGGCGGAAGCCGGACGCAGCAACGCCGCGUGCGGGAAGAAGGCCCUAGGGUCGUAAACCGCUUUCAGGGGGGACGAAGCUUCCGGGGUUAAUAGCCUACGGGGUGACGGUACUCCCAGAAGAAGGUCCGGCUAACUACGUGCCAGCCGCCGCGGUAA
rnacentral:rRNA from 1 species